UUCUUAGAAUGACCCAAAAAUUACCCAUACCAAAAAUUAUAUUUUGGGGUUAUAGUUACGUAGGAUCUUAGCUGAAUUAACCCUUUUUUAUUACUGGCGUUGUGCGACUUUACUAUAUACUUAAGUCUGAUUUGUAUAGGAAUCCGUGAAUUAAGACACCAGAGUCACCCUUGUAUGUAGGGUUCAUCGUUAAGCCACCAACUCAGUGCCAUACAAACUACAGUCAAUAGUAUACUGGUCAAAACUAAUUUGAGCCAAUAAUAACUGAGCUAUGCUUCAGUUUACUAUUCAAUAAACAUACUUACCCAACUAAUGACGUCCAUGUUGUGCUGAAUCAGCAAUUUAUAUUUUGCACAUUUUUGCGUAUCACUUCGGAACCAGAUGAGAUAGAAUAGAGCAGUAAAUGGCCAAUCGGCUUAUUUUUUUAUGCUCUUUCAGAUAAAGCAAUAAAAUUUUUUAUUGCCAAUACCCUUUAAGUAUAAAGUCUCAAAAUUCAAAUAGUUUUACCCAGCUUCGAUUUCAGUUAUUAUGACCUGGAAUUCUGUUAGUAUAUUUUAGAAGAGCUAAACUUGAAUUUGGUGUCUUGGUAUAGAGUACGUCGAUAGACAUGUAAUAAAUUAGUCGAAACUGCAUGUACAGUACUGUAUAGUUAGUGUUUUAAUAUUUUA